AUGCUCAGAUUCAUACAGUCACCUCCGAGCGUGCGCUCUCUUUGCCCAUCCUUUCCCUCCGCACAGAGCACCAGCGCUGGGUUGAGACUGAAGCUACACAUCACCAAUUAAUCUCCACAGAGGACGUGUUCAAGACCAGAUGGCCAUGUCUUUGGUUGAGUAUCCGUCCUGAUGUGGGCGUAAAAUUCCAGGAAAUGGAACCGCCCGGAAUAAUUCCAAGCAUACGUGAGGGGCACCACUUCAUCCUUUACUUUUUAGACAAGCAAGAUAAAAAUCCAGUUCUGUGUGGCAAUGACGGUCCAACAGACCAGCAUACAAUAUGGAAAUUAAUAAUUUAAGACAUUUAUUUUCUCACUAUACAAAAGGAGCACAUGAUUGUUUAUAUUGCGGAGGAGGACACAGACACGCAAAAGGCGCGCAUCCAAACUCUGCGUUCCCCUGGCACCUACCCAGCAUGCACCUGGACUCAAAGACCUGCCUUCUGUCUCGAUAAAUGUAAUACAUAAACACAGCAAAUCUGUUAUUCCAAUA